rnacentral:rRNA from 1 species
UACAGAGGGGGCAAGCGUUGUUCGGAAUUACUGGGCGUAAAGGGCGCGUAGGCGGCCUGCUAAGUCGAACGUGAAAUCCCCGGGCUCAACCCGGGAACUGCGUCCGAUACUGGAAGGCUUGAAUCCGGGAGAGGGAUGCGGAAUUCCAGGUGUAGUGGUGAAAUGCGUAGAGAUCCGGAGGAAGACCGGUGGCGAAGGCGGCCUGCUGGGCAGUUACUGACACUGAGGCGCGACAGCGUGGGGAGCAAACAGG